AACGAACGCUGGCGGCAGGCCUAACACAUGCAAGUCGAGCGAGAUCUUCGGGUCUAGCGGCGGACGGGUGAGUAACGCGUGGGAAUAUGCCCUUCUCUGCGGAAUAGCCUCGGGAAACUGAGCGUAAUACCGCAUACGCCCUUUGGGGGAAAGAUUUAUCGGAGAAGGAUUAGCCCGCGUUGGAUCAGGUAGUUGGUGGGGUAACGGCCUACCAAGCCGACGAUCCAUAGCUGGUUUGAGAGGAUGAUCAGCCACACUGGGACUGAGACACGGCCCAGACUCCUACGGGAGGCAGCAGUGGGGAAUCUUAGACAAUGGGGGCAACCCUGAUCUAGCCAUGCCGCGUGAGUGAUGAAGGCCUUAGGGUUGUAAAGCUCUUUCAGCUGGGAAGAUAAUGACGGUACCAGCAGAAGAAGCCCCGGCUAACUCCGUG
rnacentral:rRNA from 1 species